AGUGAACGCUGGCGGUAGGCCUAACACAUGCAAGUCGAACGGCAGCACAGUAAGAGCUUGCUCUUACGGGUGGCGAGUGGCGGACGGGUGAGGAAUACAUCGGAAUCUACUUUUUCGUGGGGGAUAACGUAGGGAAACUUACGCUAAUACCGCAUACGACCUACGGGUGAAAGCAGGGGAUCUUCGGACCUUGCGCGAUUGAAUGAGCCGAUGUCGGAUUAGCUAGUUGGCGGGGUAAAGGCCCACCAAGGCGACGAUCCGUAGCUGGUCUGAGAGGAUGAUCAGCCACACUGGAACUGAGAAACGGUCCAGACUCCUACGGGAGGCAGCAGUGGGGAAUAGUGGACAAUGGGCGCAAGCCUGAACCAGCCAUACAGCGUGGGUGAAGAAGGCCUUCGGGUUGUAAAGCCCUUUUGUUGGGAAAGAAAAGCAGCAGGUUAAUACACCGCUGUGGUGACGGUACCCAAAGAAUAAGCACCGGCUAACUACGUG
rnacentral:rRNA from 1 species